UACGGAGGGUGCAAGCGUUGUCCGGAAUCACUGGGCGUAAAGGGCGCGUAGGCGGCUCAUGAAGGCUGUGGUGAAAGUCCGGGGCUCAACCUCGGAUCGGCCGUGGCGACUCGUGGGCUGGAGCACUGUAGAGGCGGGUGGAAUUCCGGGUGUAGCGGUGGAAUGCGCAGAUAUCAGGAGGAACACCGGUGGCGAAGGCGGUUCUCUGGGCAGUAACUGACGCUGAGGAGCGAAAGCGUGGGGAGCGAACAGG
rnacentral:rRNA from 1 species